GAUAAAAUAUCUAUCUAUAGGCAUACAGGAAAACACGCAGGAAAUUCCCUUUAAAAAUAGUCAUUGUCUAUCGAAGAAUCUGAUCUUACACUUUUUAGUGGUACCUUGUCAGUUACUCUGAAGGAGCCAUACAAGUUUGCGAUGCCUUUCACAAUAAAGGGUUUUGAAGUUCCUGUAAGCGUUCCAAAGCUAGACACGCCAGGACUGUCAAGACCACGUGUUGGACAUUCAGGAAGUGGUCCGGUUAAAGCCCCGUUACGACCACCACCUCCACCACCACCUACCGGCAAUUGUGAACAUAAAUAAAUAUGUCAAGAAAAAAACUAUAAUUUGUAUACAGCAAUACUUGAGGAUGAAAACGUUUAUCAUUUACUUUCUCAAACAUCUGAAAUAAAUCUUUUGGAAGAAAUCUGAAA